AGAUUGUUAUUUGAGUUAUCUUUAGUUUGGUUUGAUUUAUUGACUGUAAUGGUUAGUCUUUAUUUACUCUUGAGUUGAUCUUCAUUGUUUUGAGGAGAAUGAGUGUUGUAAGAAUGAUACAAUCCAAGGAAAUCAAGAUGGAUGAGUGUUGGUUAUAUUAUUGACGAGAUUGAAGAUUGAGGAAGAAGAAAUCAAGAGCGAGAGCAAAAUGUCCCAUCGUUAUACAUCAUGUCAAUAAUACCAAUAUUAAAACUUUAAAAAAUAGAUGAGAAAAAACUCGUUUCAGCCCCAAUAUUUUGAGUCAUUCCUCCAAUUAUCUGUUUAUUGAUUUAUUUGUUUAAGGGAAAUUUUCCCUUUAUAUCAAUUUUCAUUUUUCAUCCUAACUAUUCCGAAUCGAUAGCUAUUUUGCAUCAAGAAGCUCCGCUGCAAAUAGGGAAGUUGGUUGGAGAAUUUUGUGAAAAGCAAAAAUGGCAGCAGCAGCAGCAAUUUCAUCUUGUAUUUUCUGCCAGAAAGCUUAUAAUUCUACCGCCAACAGCCUUCUUCAUUUUGUCUGCUCCUUUCGUUUCUCUGAUUAAAACCAUUUUUCUUGUGCUUCUUCUUCUUCUUCUCUUAUACCGGCGAUUGAAUGAAGCGUCUCUGAUUAAGUAUAUCGGAUUCUGCAGGAUGAGAGAGUUGUUGCUUUUGAAGAUAUAAACCCUUCUGCUGUCAGGUUCUCAGUGGCCAUCUACGACCUUCGUGAAUUGCCAUCUCGAAGGUGUUGAGGAUGGCCUCUAUAAGGCCACUAAAUGGCAUUUCUUGGUAAUUCCCAAGGAGCACAUUCCCACAGUUAGGAAUCUCCAGAGAAGAGCUGAAGAUUACUCACUUGUAAGUCACAUGUUGGAGGUGGGGCAGACACUUCUAUCCCAAGAUUCACCUCAAUUAAAGCACAGAUUUGGCUUCCAUCAGCCACCGAUGAACAGUGUCAAUCACUUACAUCUCCAUUGUUUUGCUCUUCCUUACACACCCAGGUGGAAGUUUGCAAAAUAUUUAUCAUUGGGAUCGAUCGGAUUCAUUGAAGCUGAGAAGUUGUUGGAGAAAAUAAAGCCUUAGCUCACACACCAGAUCACUUCAACAGUAGUGGGAAUUGUUCUUUUAGUAUUCACUGGAAGAAAGGCUUUGUUUUUAUUGCUUCUGAUUCAGGAAAGGGACCAAUGGCUAGCCUUAAAUUAUCAAGAUUCUUUCUUUUAUUAUUAAUUUUAUUUUGUAGUAGAAUGAGAAGUAAAAGAUGAAUGUGUAAAUGAGUAAUCAAUGUACAAUUGCUCAUAUUUUCUCCCUUGGAAGAAUAUUUAGUUUCCAGGAAGUGUGAGUUUGGUAUAAUUUAUUAAGGGAAGUACUCUGCAAAAUUAGUUUGGAAAAUAAAGAAGCAUUUUAAAAGCGAUUUGUAGUUUAAA